rnacentral:rRNA from 1 species
UGUACCAGCAUAUUUUGAUGAUGCUCAAAGAAAUGCAACUAAAGAUGCCGGUAGCAUUGCAGGUUUGAACGUUCAGCGAAUAAUCAACGAACCUACAGCUGCUUCCUUAGCUUAUGGUUUUGAUAAAAGCGACAACUCCAUAAUUUUUGUAUUCGAUGCCGGUGGUGGUACUUUUGAUGUCUCACUAUUGGAAGCAGGGGAUGGCGUUUUUGAAGUUAUUCAAACCGGAGGAGAUAGUUCUCUCGGGGGAGAUGAUAUUGAUAACAAAAUAAUGAACUGGUUAUGUAGAGGAUUUCAGAAAAAGUAUAAUAUAGACUUACGGGAUGAUCCAAAAACAAUUCAAAGAUUGAAAGAGGCAGCUGAAAAAGCUAAACUAGAAUUAUCAAGCGUAUCCUCGGCCCCCAUCAACUUACCUUUUAUUGCUAAUGAUGGAGGUAAACCAAGGCAUCUAUUAACACAGUUAUCUAGAGAAACACUUAACGAACUUAUAGCUAGUCUUAUACUUAAAUUUAAAGCUCCUAUGGUUGAAGUCCUAUCGGAGGCUAAUCUCUCUCCCUCUGAUAUUGACCAUGUAAUUCUAGUAGGUGGCACUACUAGGAUACCUAUUAUCCAGGAACUAGUUCAGAAAUAUUUAGAACAACCAGCGAAUUGCACAAUAAAUCCUGAUGAAGUUGUGGCACUAGGAGCUGCGAUACAAGCAAGUGUAAUAGGAGGUGUAACAUCAGAUAUUGUGUUAAUCGAUGUGACUCCACUAUCACUAGGUUUAGAGACAUUAGGAGGUGUAAAUACAAAACUAAUACCAAGAAAUACAUCUCUGCCUACAUCCAAAACUGAAGUCUUCUCAACCGCAAUCGACAAUCAAAAUUCUGUUGAGAUAAACGUACUACAAGGAGAAAGAGAUUUCGCAGCUAAUUGUAAACCUCUAGGAACAUUUAAACUAUCGGGAAUACCACCAGCGCCAAGAGGAACCCCACAAAUCGAAGUAAAUUUUCAGUUAGAUGUUAAUGGGAUACUAAAGGUAAUUGCAACGGAUAAAACAUCAGGAGCAAGCAAAGAUCUAGAAAUAAAAGACUCAAACCAAAGAAGCAAGGAAGAGAUCGAUCAGAUCAUUGAAGAUGCCCAGAAGUAUUCAGGCGAGGAUAAGGCCGAAAAGGAAUUUGUCGAGAUUAAAAAUAACGCCGAGGCUCUCAUUUACGAAGCUCAGAGGAAGCUACAAGAAGACAGCGAACUUGCAAAAUCUGAGAAAGCUUCACAGAUACAGUCUACCAUCGAUGCCCUGCGAUCCGGUCUGAACAGUAAAGACAGGUCUGCCAUAACCCAACUCAUGAGUGAACUACAAACUCUACUUCAAUAAUAACCAUGGCCUUACAGAAGGUCGCUCGCUAUUAUAUUUGACAAGACUUUACUAAUUAAAGCCUAUAAUUAACUUUUUUUUGUUUUAGGAUUAUUCACUUAAUAUUUACCUUACUCCCUUUUUCUAACCACCGUAUAGAGAUGAGUGCAUGUACAUUCAAAGAGCACCUUCAGACACGGUGGUAAAAAAACCUCAAUGUUUCACAUGACUCUUACUAGAACAUACCUGGACGAUCUGUGACCACAGGAGAAGCUAUUUCUCUACAAGACGUAGGGGUGCACACCCCUACUCCUACUUUGCGUUUACAGGACUCCUCUGUCUCUCUUAUCAACUGAAGUUUGGAGGUGCUUGAUAUAGAAAUAGUCUCCUCCUUUUGGAUGUAUCUCAAGAAAGCCAAAGACAUCUCAAAAAAUGCUCCGAAUCAAAUUCAAGGAAUGCAAC